rnacentral:tRNA from 1 species
GGGGUUGUGGCUCAGUGGUAGAGCGCUUGCCUCACACGCACGAGACCCUAUGGUGUAAUCCUCAGCACCA